rnacentral:rRNA from 1 species
CUGCGAAUGGCUCAUUAUAUAAGUUAUCGUUUAUUUGAUAGUACCUUACUACUUGGAUAACCGUGGUAAUUCUAGAGCUAAUACAUGCUAAAAAUCCCGACUUCGGAAGGGAUGUAUUUAUUAGAUUAAAAACCAAUGCCCUCUGGGCUCUCUGGUGAUUCAUGAUAACUUCUCGAAUCGCAUGGCCUUGCGCCGGCGAUGGUUCAUUCAAAUUUCUUCCCUAUCAACUUUCGAUGUUUGGGUAGUGGCCAAACAUGGUUGCAACGGGUAACGGAGGGUUAGGGCUCGACCCCGGAGAAGGAGCCUGAGAAACGGCUACUACAUCCAAGGAAGGCAGCAGGCGCGCAAAUUACCCAAUCCCGAUUCGGGGAGGUAGUGACAAUAAAUACUGAUACAGGGCUCUUUUGGGUCUUGUAAUUGGAAUGAGUACAAUUUAAAUCCCUUAACGAGGAACAAUUGGAGGGCAAGUCUGGUGCCAGCAGCCGCGGUAAUUCCAGCUCCAAUAGCGUAUAUUAAAGUUGUUGUGGUUAAAAAGCUCGUAGUUGAACCUUGGGCCUGGCUGGCCGGUCCGCCUCACCGCGUGUACUGGUCCGGCCGGGCCUUUCCCUCUGUGGAACCCCAUGCCCUUCACUGGGUGUGGCGGGGAAACAGGACUUUUACUUUGAAAAAAUUAGAGUGCUCCAGGCAGGCCUAUGCUCGAAUACAUUAGCAUGGAAUAAUAAAAUAGGACGUGCGGUUCUAUUUUGUUGGUUUCUAGGACCGCCGUAAUGAUUAAUAGGGACAGUCGGGGGCAUCAGUAUUCAAUUGUCAGAGGUGAAAUUCUUGGAUUUAUUGAAGACUAACUACUGCGAAAGCAUUUGCCAAGGAUGUUUUCAUUAAUCAGGAACGAAAGUUAGGGGAUCGAAGACGAUCAGAUACCGUCGUAGUCUUAACCAUAAACUAUGCCGACUAGGGAUCGGACGAUGUUAUUUUUUGACUCGUUCGGCACCUUACGAGAAAUCAAAGUGC